CGGGAUGUAGCGCAGUCUGGUCCAGCGCGCCUCGUUUGGGACGAGGAGAUCCGGGGUUCGAAUCCCUGCAUCCCGA
rnacentral:tRNA from 1 species